GCGGGACCGUGCGGGGGGGCGGAGUCUCCCUUAAAGGCGCCCUGCGCCUCCGCCGCUUCCGCGCCCGGGCGGAGCCGUGACCCGCGCGGGGAUCCCCGCGGCGCGGGGGCUCCUCCCGCCCAGGGGCCCCGACCACCCCCGCCGGUGGCAGCUCGGACUGCUCCUGCCCACAAAAUGCUUCUCUGGCCUCCAUGGGAUGAAAAGGAUGAAAAAUUAUCCAAGAUACCACAAAAAUAAACAGAUUAAAAAAAGAAUGAGUACAAGCCAGAUGGGAUUUUUAAAGAGUCAGCUGAAGGAAGCUCUAGGCCAUAGCUGACUUUUGCUAUAUUCUGGGAAGGAACUGUCCUCGCCAGAGCUACAGGGAUACUAGUGUGUUUGACCAGGUAAGCUAUUCUCAAAAGCUUCUCUAACAUCAGGUCAUCCAAAGAAGAUACUUCCCUGUAAUGCCAGACACUGCUUUUGGUUUUCCUUAAAUAUUAGGCUUGAUUUCCCUGGUGGAAUACAGAUCAUAUGAACAGAACUAUUACUAUUUUUCUCUUUCAUUUACACAAGUGUAGAAUACCUAAAAGUAAGAAAUGGGCUGACAUGAGAUCAUUUCAAUAAGAUGAUACACUAAACAGUAGAUUUCCUGAAAAUACUGGCAUGUGCUUUUUUCCCUGUUAGCUUCAUCCUCAACUGUACCAAAGAGCUUUCCAGUACCAAAUAACAAAUAUCCUGCACUUACCAGGAGAUGUAUGUUCUUUCUCAUCCACAACAUCUAGUCUGU
rnacentral:lncRNA from 1 species